UGGGCUGAAUGGGAAAUGCUGCGUGGCAACCGUGGACAGAACUCUGUUUCCUAUCACAUCCCCGGCUCAAUCAGUGACUUAUGCAAGACAAUAAGCAAACCAAGCAAAGAUGUUAAGCAACAUUCCCAAGACCAAGAACUAAUAAGCUGGGAGAAGAAGCUGGGACACAUUCAAACUAUAAUCUAUCGGCUCUAAAUUCUACCGCACUUCAUUCAAUUCAGAGUCCAGGAGCAUGUAGCUGAAAGGUCUAUGAAGGAGCUCAUUCAAUGGAACCAUGGAUGAAAGAAGAGAGGCAUGGAUGAAAGGAAUAGAACCAAGUGUAGAUUUCUGUUGCUCUCUUCAGCAAAUGGGAAGAAAAAGGAAGACCUGGAUAUGAACGGCAGCAGGAGGGCCAUGACCAGGGUGCAGGGUCCCAUGCCACAGGGCCUUCAGCAUAGAAUUCUCUCCCUCUUCCUCUUCACCUGGCAAAUCCUCACUCACUCUGCAAGCCUUAACUUUUGCAUAAAUUAAUAAAUGACUUUCUCUUCUCUUCUGACCAUAAUACCAUCCUAUGAUGGACAUUUCUUCCUUUAUAUUGUUUUACAUAUCCACAUCUAUCUCUGCUACCAUGUAUUACAAAGAGAUAUCAUGCCUCUACACAUUUAGUCACCUGAUUGCUAGUCUGAUCUCCCAAUUUAUAUGCUGAUUGCUAAAGGAGCUG